UGUCAGUGCAGUAAAAGAAGGCAUGUUUUCUCACUGCCCCAUGGAGCCUGCCAUUCUACUUCUUUGCUUAGUAGCAGCUCCUGUGUAUGUCCACUCCACCAUCCAACUUGUGGAAUCUGGGCCAGGAAGAGUGAGCCCUGGAGGAUCCUUCAGAUUAACUUGCAAAGUGACAGGGGAAUCCAUUGAGAAUAUAGCCUUGGCAUGGAUCCGCCAGGCUCCAGGAAAAGGAUUGGAAUGGGUGGGUGACAUAGCCUUGGUGGAGGGUGAAUGGAGAACAGUCUAUGCCUCAUCCCUCCAAAGUCGAACGACCUUGACAGCCGAUGACUCCAAGAAUGAAUGUUACUUGACAAUGAAAUCCCUGACAGCUGCAGACUCAGCCACAUAUUACUGUGCAGGAGAGUCACAAAGACCUGGAGAGUCCCUCCAUCUCUCCUGCCAAGGAUCUGGCUACACGUUCAGCAGCUACUGGAAGAGCUGGGUGAGACAGGCUCCGGGGAAAGGCCUGGAAUGGGUGGCAAGGAUACGCUAUGAUGCUGCAUAUACUUACUACCCUGACAAAGUGAAGGGCCGCUUCACCAUCUCCAGGGACAAUGCCAAAAGCCAGCUGUAUCUGCAAAUGAACAGCCUCACAGCUGAAGACACAGCAGUCUAUUACUGUGUGAGAGACACAGUAGACCUGAACAAUGAGUUAAAACAAAAGCAGGAUUGUGUGGGAUGGUGA